GUGGUGGCUUGGUCUGCACAUGGUAUGGUAGUCUUGCAAUGUGUCUGACUUGGUUUUGUUGGUGUAACACAAUUGGGUAGGCUUAGGAACUGGUUUUGUGGUCAUGAGCUACCACACACAUGUAAUGAUGUUGUGGCUUACUUGUGGUCUUGGUAUUGAUACGAAUUCAGUCUGCUAGCUGAUGUUGCUUGGGACAGGUCUUGACUUGACACAGAUUGGUGCCUAACACGUGCAAGGUUGUCUCAAUGGUCAUGUUUUGCACUCAGGUUUGGUUCUAGUUGCUACAACCUCCAUGAGCCUCUCUCAUCAUUAUGAGUUCAAAACCAAAUGCAUGUGUAUUGGUAUGUCCAAAUGGUCAUGUAGGUGUCAUGUUGCAGCUGGUAGGUAUUGGUCAUGCAGUCUCCUGUUGCAACAGAUGUUCAGUGCUGCAGAAUUAUGGUGUUUGAUGCAGGAUUGGCUCGCAUCUGUUGGUUAUGCCAUGGUGAACACAUGUUACUGCUGUUUGUUAAUGGAC